ACAAAAAGUAAACAAGGGCGCAUGGCGGAUGCCUUGGCUCUCGGAGGCGAUGAAGGACGUGAUAAGCUGCGAUAAGCUGCGGGUAGGUGCAAAUAACCUUUGAUCCGCGGAUUUCCGAAUGGGACAACCCGGUACUUUGAAGAAGUAUCAUCCUGCAUUGCAGGAGGCUAACGCAGGGAACUGAAACAUCUUAGUACCUGCAGGAAAAGAAAAUAAACAAUGAUUCCCCCAGUAGUGGCGAGCGAACGGGGAAUAGCCCAAACCGUUCAUGUUACGGCAUGGGUGGGGUUGUAGGACCACGCCGUGGCAAGAAAGUUGGUGAGCAGAAUGUUCUGGAAAGUACAGCCAUAGAGCAUGAGAGCUGCGUAUGCGAAGCCAAGCGAAGCCUAGUGGUAUCCUGAGUAGCGCGGAGCACGAGGAAUUCUGCGUGAAUCUGCCGGGACCAUCCGGUAAGGCUAAAUACUCCCGA
rnacentral:rRNA from 1 species